rnacentral:misc_RNA from 1 species
UGCAAUUGUCAGUACUGUCAAACCAAAUAUAACGGGAAAAGAAUGCAGUAUUAAAUUUUAUAAUUUAAGAAAUCAAUUUAAUACUGAAAACGCAAAAGUAAGAGCCUCAAUUAAGUGGUAUAGGUAGUGAAAAUGUGUAUAAACCUAAUUUAUGGUAUUACGAUGCUUUAAAAUUUCUGGAAGAACAUAUAGUUCCCAGAAAAAGUAAGAACUCACAUCUACCAAAUAGUACAAAAGAUACACCUGGUUUUUUGUUACACCAUGAUUAUGUACAAACAUCACAAGACUUAGAAGAAUUGCAAGAAAUGUUGGUUGAAGAUAAUAAUGUCUAUGUACAUGAAGAGGAUUUAAAUAAUAAUAAUGAAGAAUCACAAUCAUGUGCAUCUUCAUCAUCUGAUAACAUAAUUGCUACAACACCAUCGAUUUUAAAACAAAAAAAAAAUGCAAUCAAGAUCUUUACCAUUUACUGAUUUAUUUAAUAUAAAUACGUCAAGUCCAUCAACAUCAUGUUCUGUACAAUCAUCGCCAAAUGUUGGUAAUGCAUUACAAUCUUCAUCCACUACUCAUAAUCCUAA